GGACUGGUGACCUAGUGGUUAUAGUAUCCGUCUCUGAUGCGGGAUGUUGUGAGUUCGAUCCCCAGCCGAGUCAUACCA